rnacentral:rRNA from 1 species
GACGAACGCUGGCGGCGUGCUUAACACAUGCAAGUCGAACGGAAAGGCCCUGCUUUUGUGGGGUGCUCGAGUGGCGAACGGGUGAGUAACACGUGAGUAACCUGCCCUUGACUUUGGGAUAACUUCAGGAAACUGGGGCUAAUACCGGAUAGGAGCUCCUGCUGCAUGGUGGGGGUUGGAAAGUUUCGGCGGUUGGGGAUGGACUCGCGGCUUAUCAGCUUGUUGGUGGGGUAGUGGCUUACCAAGGCUUUGACGGGUAGCCGGCCUGAGAGGGUGACCGGCCACAUUGGGACUGAGAUACGGCCCAGACUACUACGGGAGGCAGCAGUGGGGAAUAUUGCACAAUGGGCGGAAGCCUGAUGCAGUAACGCCGCGUGCGGGAUGACGGCCUUCGGGUUGUAUACCGCUUUCGCCUGUGACGAAGCGUGAGUGACGGUAAUGGGUAAAGAAGCACCGGCUAACUACGUG